UAAAAUCAAUAACGGUAACGUUUGGUGCGAUUGCGCGGUAGGCGACAGGUUCAACACAUGCGUAUUAAACCUUUGCAAUCGAACGGCUUGUUGUCUGGGAUCUCCGACAUUUUUUCUUUAAGGUCAUUUGCUGGUUAAAAAACACGAUGGCUGAAGGCAUAAAUCCUAUCCACCACAUGCUGUGUGACCCAAAAGAACCAGUCGCAGGCUACGAGGCGUUACCGCCCGUAUUAAAGGAAUUCAUCAGAAAACAAAAAGCAGAGAGCUGUUUUCUUGUCAACAACAGAAUUUGCGACAUUAUUCCAGCUCCCAGGGCUAAUGAUAUUGCUCUAGUAAAUCGUCCGCGUCGUAAUGAGGAUCCCAAUACCUUUGCUAUCAGGCCUUUUGGUGAAACCUAAAUAGAACGGAGAACGGUAGGCGACUUCGGGAGACAGUCUUCUUAACUAUUUAUCCCAUACUGUAUAAUUAUAUUUAGUGAUUAUUGUAAGUUUUACAUAUGCGGAUGCGAAUUAAUGUUUGAAUAUCAUUCAAAGAAAAUUUAUACUCGUAAAAUUAAUACAUGUAUUCCAACUUUAGAUUUAUUUAAGGUUGUAAAACAGAUUUAUAAUUUUUUCUGUUACCACUACAUCAAACCCUCAAUCAGUUAUUGUGAGAAAAAUACCAAUUUAUAAAUAUAAUUUCUAUUUACGCUAAAUAGUGUUGUAAUGUAAUUGUAGUACAUUAGGUUUAAUGUAUUUGCUCCGAAGAUUAGAAACAUAAUGUGUUUUGUCCGAAAAUUUUCCUUGCGUAGAAACCGUUUAUUCUCUUACUUUUUAAUACUACACACUUUUCUAUGGUAUUAUCAACCAAUACAAUAUUGAUCGUUUAGAUGAAAACAAAAGCGUUUAUAGCAAAGUUUAGAGCGUAGAAAAUGGAAUCGUAGAUUCUAAGAUAGCGGUUGAUAAUAUCCAUAAAGAAUAUUCACAAUUGUUUAAAUGUUUUCUGUAUGCUGUAGUUUUCGUUCGAAGAAACAUGUAUUAACACCACUAUGUAUAUCAAAAUAAAGGGUAAUACAGCUU